rnacentral:rRNA from 1 species
GUUUCCGUAGGUGAACCUGCGGAAGGAUCAUUAUUGGAAUCGCAAGAGGCUGUAGCUCUGGCCCCCUUGGGUAUAUGUGCACGUCUCUUGUUCCUUUAUCACCCACCUGUGCACUGAUUGUAGACCCCUUGUGUCUAUGAUAUACAUUAUACAGUUUUUGAAUGUAUUAUGUUGGCUUUAUAAACAAUAUAUAUAUAACUUUCAACAAUGGAUCUCUUGGCUCUCGCAUCGAUGAAGAACGCAGCGAAAUGCGAUAAGUAAUGUGAAUUGCAGAAUUCAGUGAAUCAUCGAAUCUUUGAACGCAUCUUGCGCUCCUUGGCAUUCCGAGGAGCAUGCCUGUUUGAGUGUCAUUAAUCUCUCGAAACAUUUCACUUGGUGUGUAGUGUUUUGGAUUUUGGGAGUCAUUGCUGGCUGGGUCGGAGUCAGCUCUCCUUAAAAAUAUUAGCUUUUGGGGAAAAGCCUUUUCCCACUCAUUGGUGUGAUAAUUAUCUAUGCCAGGGAAGKGGGAAGGAAACCUCCCGUUGACCAAAUGACCUC